AGAGCGAACGCUGGCGGCAGGCUUAACACAUGCAAGUCGAGCGGGCGUAGCAAUACGUCAGCGGCAGACGGGUGAGUAACGCGUGGGAACGUACCUUUUGGUUCGGAACAACCCAGGGAAACUUGGGCUAAUACCGGAUAAGCCCUUACGGGGAAAGAUUUAUCGCCGAAAGAUCGGCCCGCGUCUGAUUAGCUAGUUGGUGGGGUAAUGGCCCACCAAGGCGACGAUCAGUAGCUGGUCUGAGAGGAUGAUCAGCCACAUUGGGACUGAGACACGGCCCAAACUCCUACGGGAGGCAGCAGUGGGGAAUAUUGGACAAUGGGCGCAAGCCUGAUCCAGCCAUGCCGCGUGAGUGAUGAAGGCCCUAGGGUUGUAAAGCUCUUUGUGCGGGAAGAUAAUGACGGUACCGCAAGAAUAAGCCCGGCUAACUUCGCGCCAGCAGCCGC
rnacentral:rRNA from 1 species